rnacentral:rRNA from 1 species
GAUCAACGCUGGCGGCGCGCUUAACACAUGCAAGUCGAACGAGAAAGGGAGCAAUCCCUGAGUACAGUGGCGUACGGGUGAGUAACACGUGGGUCAUCUACCCUUGGGUGGGGAAUAACCCUGGGAAACCGGGCGUAAUACCGCAUAUCCCCGAGAGGAGAAAGUCGCAAGACGCCUAAGGAGGAGCCCGCGGCCGAUUAGCUAGUUGGUAGGGUAAAAGCCUACCAAGGCUCAGAUCGGUAGCCGGCCUGAGAGGGCACUCGGCCACACUGGCACUGAAACACGGGGCCAGACUCCUACGGGAGGCAGCAGGUGGGGAAUCUUGCACAAAUGGGGGAAACCCUGGAUGCAGCGACGCCGCGUGAGCGAUGAAG